rnacentral:rRNA from 1 species
UUGGGUGAACGCUGGCGGCGUGCCUAACACAUGCAAGUCGAGCGGUGCUGCUGGAAGCUUCUGCGGAACGCUGCACUGCGGCCGACGGGUGCGUAACACGUAGGAACGUGCCCCCUGCAGGCGGAUACCUGUGGGAAACUGCACGUAAUCCGCCCUAAACUCCUGAGAGUAAAGGCCGAAAGGUGCCAGGGGAGCGGCCUGCGGCCCAUCAGGUAGUUGGUAGGGUAAAGGCCUACCAAGCCGACGACGGGUAGCCGGUCUGAAAGGAUGGCCGGCCACAAGGGCACUGAGACACGGGCCCUACUCCUACGGGAGGCAGCAGUGGGGGAUUUUGGACAAUGGGCGAAAGCCUGAUCCAGCGACGCCGCGUGGAGGAAGAAGCCCUUCGGGGUGUAAACUCCUUUUGUCAAGGAAAAAAGCUGAUGGUCCCUGACGAAUAAUCCCCGGCUAACUACGUCCCAGCAGCCGCGGUAAUAUGUAGGGGGCGAGCGUUACCCGGAAUCACUGGGUGUAAAGGGUGUGUAGGCGGCCGAGUGUGUCUGGCGUUAAAAUCCACGGCUCAACUGUGGGUAUGCGCUGGAAACUGCUUGGCUUGAGUGCAGCAGAGGCAGACGGAACUGCUGGUGUAGAGGUGAAAUUUGUAGAUAUCAGCAGGAACCCCGGUGGAGAAGUCCGUUUGCUGGGCUGUAACUGACGGUGACGCAAGAAAGCUAGGGGAGCAAACCGGAUUAGAUACCCGGGUAGUCCU